GAGCACGGCAGAUGGGCUGCACCCGGGCCCACCCCCCCUCCUCCACCUUCUACCUGCUCCCUGGGUGGUGUUUGCUUCCUUAGUUGUUACUGAUCUUUCCUAAUACUUCUUAGGGUGGCUGUGAGGAGUAAAUUCAUUACUUAGAGUAAUGCUUUGUCAGGUGCCUAGUGCAUUAUAAGCACUCAGUAAACAUCAGCUGUUGUUAUCACAGCUGUUAAGAGUUUCCUUUAGGGAAUAAUUGAAAAAAGAAUCAAGCAUAAGUGUGUAUAUAUAGACACAUUGACACUAUACUUUGAGGAAAAUACAGCAAACCUCCAAAUUAACCAUCAUAAAACAUCUGUACUAAAAUGUAUCCUGUCCCUGAGGUCUGCACUUAGAAUCGUCCUUUAUUCAGCACUAACUAUGCAGGAUGAUUGAUGAUCUUGUUUCCUAAUCUACAGCUACAUUUUGGAAAAGUUUUCUAAAGAUAAGUUUGGUGACAUAAGGAGAGGUGGGAGUUGGCCUCAGAGUAAAAAGACUGUGAAAUCCAGAAAACCCAGGACUUUGAUUGUAUAACGUGACUGACUGUAUCCCUGCUCUCUCAAUGAGUGCGUCCUUGGGUACAAACAGGAUGUGUGUACCCAAGGAUACACAAAGCCUCCCUGCUUUUCCCCUGUGUAAGAUGGGGCUAAUGAUAGUUCACACCUCCUGGUUUGCAGAUCUUCAAUGAGUUGACACAUGAAAAAACACUCAGAACCAUUUGAUGCUCAAACUGUGGGUGAUAUCUUGAGAAGAUAAUGGAGAAAAAGGGGAAAUGAAGUGGUAUUGUUGAAUUCUGUGUGGCAGUUGGUGUUUUCAUUGGCUUCUCACAAAGUAUCUUCUAAAGAAGGCACUUAAUGCUCCCAUUUUACAGUCGAGACUAACAGGUUGUAAUGUGUAAGUGAUUGAUUACACACGUGAUAGACUGACUGCAUCCAACAGUCUCAAGCCAUCCAAAGAAAUAAAAUACUUUAGGAAGAGUUUUACAUUAGUACUCUCUAAGUGGUUAAGUCACAGAAACCCAAAGAGGACUAGCUUAAGCAAAACAAGGAAAUUAAUUUUGACUAGAAUCUGGAAGCUCAAGAAAGUGUGGUUUGCUCCAGAGGUUACAAUAGUAGCGCUUACUCUGUCCACCUCUUAGCCUUGCUGGCUGUCCUUUCCAGAUAAACCCUACAUUUGCUAACAGUAUUGGAAUUGGCAUCCCUUUGGCUGGCACCCAUCUCAAAACAAGAAAAUCUUUCCUGUAGUUUGUGUUGUGUGCUCACCUAUAGGGCCGGUGGCACCCUGCCUACCCCUCUUCAUGGAAUGCUCGGUGUUUCUGUGCAAUGGGGGAGGCCUUUUCCCCUGAUGAAGACAUUUUGACAUAUAAGAAUAUAACCAUAUUUCCUCUAUUUUCCAACUAAUUAAAAAAAAUAACAUGGAGAGGCUCUUAAUGAAAUGAGCAUUGGUUACUUAACAUGCCUUAUUCCUAGGGACAAGCCAUUUUUGUGAUAAGAUCAGACUACGCCACAGGGUUGUGCUGUCAAGUUCAAUUUACUAUUCAAGGUGAGCAGGUCAGCAGUAGGUAAGGUGUGUAUGCAAGACAUUUAAACUACACUUUAGAGCUCAUAGAAAAGGCUUAGAGAUUCAGACCCGCAGCUCCGCAUACUAAAUGCUACAUACGUGAAAUCCCCUGUAGAAAUGAAGAUAUUCUAUCUCAAUCCAGAACAACCCCCAAAUUAGAAAUGGGUAACCAGGGUAGGGUAGCAAGAACACGGGCCUGGGGGUUGGAAGAUUGCCACUUACUAAUUACAACUUUGGUCAAAUAAUUGAACUUUUCUUAAGGUUCCUCAGAUGUGAAAUAGGGCAGAUCAUAUCUUACAAGGUUAUUAUGAGGAUUAAUGAGAUGGUGUGCUCUUGAGAGAUGAGAAUAAGAACAGUGUGGCCUGUCAGCAGAGGGAGAGCGUUCCCUAGGCGUAUUUUAUUUCUGUCUCAACACGCCAAACUUUUUUAUUUUAUUUUAUUUUUUUACAACAGACGUCUGUUAAUGUGGAAUUUUAAAACCUAAACAUGUUGUUUUGCCCUAUAAUCAGCCAUGUUUGAAAUGGCUCUUGUCUUCACAGACCCACGCAGAGACUAGUCUUGCAGAGAAGGUGCUUGGCUGCUUGUUUCUAGAACUGUGGGGGAAGCAGUUUGAAACACAUCGUUUUGCUUCACCAGCCGUUUCCAUGGAGGAGGAAUAGAUGGAAAUCAGGAGCCCACAUUGUGGUCUGAAGUCAGGGCACUGACGCUCAGCGUGCAGGCUCCCUGCUUCAGAGCUGGGGUCGCCCAGAAUAACACGGCCAAAAGCAGCUGCCUUUCCUCUCUCAUUCACUGACCUGAAUAUCAAAUUUCAGAAUUCCUGUCCCAGUUGGUAUUGAUCCUGGCUAGACAUACUUUUCACACAAUCUAUAUAUAACAGUACGUCGUGGCUUUCAGAUUUUUUUCAUCCUGAUAAAAAAGAACUCAAGAGUUAACCUACAUGGGCAGUCAUGGAUACUGAAAACUUCUGGGUACAACUGAUGGAAGUCUUUUUUUCUUCUCUAAGAACUAGCCCCCCAUCUUAAAUUUAGCUUCUAAUUUCAAUAACCUGUAGUAUUUACUCCCAUGAGCACUUAGAGAGGAGUUCCUUGAAGUAAUCAGCCAAAGCUGUUCUUUAUCUAAGAUAUUUUCCGUAAAGUGUAAUCAGCAGAACCAAAGAACAGAAGCAGGGAAACAGUUAAUGUUAUCACCUCCAACAUUAUCAGUGGGGCCCAUGACUCUGAAAUCCAACUUCAUAAUAAAUAAGUAACCUUUGGUCAAAGCAGGAAAUGGCGCUUUCCUGGACAGUAACCAUGGUUUUCCUUUUUAAGAACAGAUUCAGCAUCAUUCAUUCAUUUAUUCAUUUAUUUAUUUAGGGCCGAAGCUGCGGCAUAUAGAGGUCGCAGGCUAGGUGUCAAAUUGGACUACAGCCGUCAGCCUACACCACAGCCACAGCAACGUGGGAUCCAAGUCGCAUCUGCGACCUACACUGCAGCUCACAGCAAUGCCAGAUCCUUAACUCACUGAGUGAGGCCAGGGAUCGAACCCACAUCCUCAUGGAUACUAGUCAGAUUCAUUUCCACUAAGCCACCAAGGAAACUCCAGAUUCAGCUUCAUUUAAAUAGACAAUCGUGCUUUCUACUUGAGGCAAUAGUUCUCAUGUGUGUGCUCACCGCCCACGCCCCCAGAGCUGCAACAGUGUCCCCUAGGAACUUGUUUGAAAUGCCAGUUCUUGGGCUCCACCCCAGACCUCCUGAAUCAGAAACUCCAGGGAUGGGGCAGGCUGUAUUUGAAGAAGCCCUGCAGCGGAUCAGAGUGCAGCUCAAGUUUGAGAGCCACUGCUCUAAGAUAACACUCGUAGGUGGUGGUGGUGGGGGGUGGGGGGUCAGACAGAAGUGGUUUCCCGCAGGACUUGAGAAAUCCAAAUCUAACGCUUGGGGGUCCAGUGUGCAGGUGCAGGAUACGGACCCACCUUUGCCCCCUCACACUGCACACUGUCUAGACUAGAAAUAAGCCACUGUCUCUUUUAUGUCUGUAACCAGAUAUGGUCUGUCAGCUCUCUCUGGUUAAUAUCAGAAGAUUUAAACUAGUCAGGAAAGAAAAAUGCUAUUGGAACCACCAGAACCAAAAAAUUGUUUAGUUCAUGGAGUUCCCUGGUGGAUCAGUGGUUUAAGGAUCCAGUGUUGGCACUGUUGUCGCUUGGGUUUGAUCCCCAGCAUGAAACUUCUGCAUGGGCAUGGCCAAAAAAAACCCUGGGUAGUUAAUAUGUCAUUCCUCUGUCAUAGCCUUUAACCCCUAAGCUUCCAGAAAAGCCUUCAAGACAUCUUAUAGGACUCCCUGAAGGAAAACUAAUCAAUACGGUUUAAAUUUGAUGUUCUUUGUGAACAUGCAUUUGAUUAUAGCAACAAAUUCCUUAAAUUUGCAAGCUCAGCUUUUUCAGUGUUCAAGAUGUGUGUAUUUACUAGUAAUUUCUGUGCCCAAGGUUUAAGAAAUACUGAAUUAUCUGAAAGAGGAGUUCCCAUUGUGGCACAGCAGAAAUGAAUCCGACUAGGAACCAUGAGGUUGUGGAUUCAAUCCAUGGCCUCGCUCAGUGGCUUAAGGAUCCGGCAUUGCCAUGAGCUGUGGUGUUGGUCAUAGACGCAGCUCGGAUCUGGCCUUGCUGUGGCUGUAGUGUAGGCCGGCAGCUAUAGCUCCAGUUAGACCUCCAUAUGCUGCUGGUGUGGCCCUAAAAAGGACUAUAUAUAUAUAAUAUACACACACACACACACACACACACACACACACACAUAUAUCUGAAAGAAAUUAACCUAUAUACAGGGAAUAUGUUAAAUAAAAGAAGAUUUUGAACUAAGCAUUCAGAUUUCUCAUGUGUCCAUUCCUUAGCAUCAGUGAAGACAGAUGUAUAUAAACAAGAAUGCCUAUACACAUUCAGGCGAAGUUUUUAUUUAUAGACAAAGUAGGCCAUGUGCUCACGAGUUUGGAUUUUGUUUGCUGUACAAGGUCUCCAUCUGUCUUUCUCUGGCUUCCUUGAAUUAUGCAUUAGCCCCCCCAAAACCCAUCUCAUCUAGGACAAACCUGUUUUCCGUGUAAUCUGUUAUAAAUAGCUAUAUAUAUACACAGAUAAAGAUGGGACCAACAUGUCUGGACUUGUAAAACAGUGGUGGUGAUUCUGGGGUGUGGGGACUGGCAGUUGGAGGCAGUGGUGAUGAAAUUAGCUAUUUCCAAACGUGUACUCAAGAGAGAUAUAUUUCUGCAGGGCUCGGUUCCCUGAAAACUUUUCACCACUAGAAAAUGUACAUUUAGAUAAUCCAUUGAAAAUGUAGUGAGGCUUCAGGUUUGAAUCUAUCUAUAAAGCUAUGAUUAUUUCAAUGUAAUUUUGAUCCUGGGACUAGCAAUCUCUUAGAGUAGUUAAUAUACUGGUUCUGACACCCUACUGCAGUCAUAGCUUUUCCAAUUUCAUUGCUACUUGGCUUAUUGAUAACUGUGUUCUAGAGUAGAAAGUUUUUUUUUUUUUAUUUUUUUUAUUUUUUAAGAAAAUCUUCCCUUUUAGGAGUUCCCAUCAUGGCUCAGCAGAAAUGAAUCUGACUAAUAUCCAUGAGGACGCAGGUUUGAUCCCUGGCCUUGCUCAGUGGGUUAAGGAUCCAGUGUUGCUAUGAGCUGUGGUCUAGGUCGAGGUUUUGGCUCAGAUUGUGCAUGGCUGUGGCUGUGGUGUAGGCUCAGAUUCGACCCCUAGCCUGGGAACUUCCAUAUGCCAUG
rnacentral:lncRNA from 1 species